rnacentral:sRNA from 1 species
AUGUAAAUAUCAAGUUUUAUCUCACUCUUUUGCAUAUAGUCGAAAACCUCCAAUGCUUUCUCUAGCUUCCCGUUAUUACAGAGUCCAUCUAACAAAAUGCUGUAUGUCAUUAUAUCAGGAGGUACACCAUCAGAAACCAUCUGUUUGAAAACCUUUUGGGCAUUAUCACAGUCGCCAUCAUGAAAAAGCCCUUGGAUAAGAGUGGUGUAAGUGACUGUAUCGCCAACCAAUCCUCUAUGAGACAUCUCGCGGAAGAGUUCCGUACCAUCUUCUACUCUCUUAGACUUGCAAAAUCCCUUUAUGAGAGUAUUAUAUGUAACUACAUCUGGGAAACAGUCCUUGCUAACCAUGAACUCAAACAUCUGCUUGGCCUUGUCUAGACGAUCAUGCAUACAGAACCCGUUGACCAAUGAAUUGUAAGUGAAAAUAUCAGGAUCUAUAGACCUUUUGAUCAUGUCAUCGUACAAUUUCUCAGCCUCUACAAACUUUCCUUCUUUCACAAACGCAUCGAUCAAUGCAUUGAACGUGACUAAAUUAGGGUUGAUUUUCUUCUCAAUCAUAUCACUCAGUAGUUGAGAGGCAUCACUCCAUCUUCCAUAACUACAAAGGCAACUUAUGAGGGAGCUGUAGGUAACAACAUUUGGUCUAAUUCCUUUGGUUUCCAUUUCUUUGAAUAGGUUGAGCGCAUCAUCCACAUGUCUAUAUUUGCAGAGACUAUCAAUGAUUGUGUUGAAGAUAACAACAUCCGCCUCUAUUUUCGCAGCUUCCAUCUUGUUGAGCAGAUUUAAAGCCAAAUCAGUAUCACCUCUCUUACAUAAUCCAUUUACUACCACUCCAUAAGUAACCAGAUUUGGUUGACAGCCUCUUUGAACCAUUCGAUCAACUAACGCCACAGCUUCAGAAGCUUUGUUGUGGAGAAAAAGCCCAUGAAUCAAAGUUGUAAAUGUGAUUGUGUCAGGUCUAUACCCCAUUUCCACCAUUUGAUCAACCAAAGCUACAGCAUCUGAAAUCCUCUUACCGUGACAGUAUCCAUUGAGAAGAGAAGAAAGCGUGACAAUGCUGGGCUCAUAGCCGAGUUUCAUCAUCUUGCCAA